CUUUCUAUCACUCUCGAUCCGUUAGGGUUUCGUUUGCGGUUUCAAUCUGUGGAUUCUGAAUUCUCUCCCUCGGUUCUGUUUCGCUGUUCUUUCCCGAGCUCCGGUCGGAGGUAAAGGUUUUCCUCCAUUGGCGAACGAUUGAAGAUCAAGCGCCGGCGGUUGAAGAUCGUGAAGACCUGAUUUUUUCUCGGAAAUCAUACGCUUGCUUGCUCGAUCGGUGUCUCUCUCUCUGGAUCAGGUUUUUCUCUAUCUCUCUCUCUUAAUUAUUCUGUUUCACGCACGAAUUGUUGUGCUCUCUCUCUCGAAUUGUUCUCUGACUCGAUUGUGUCUCUCUCUUUCUCGCUCGCCAAUGGCAUAUUCGAAAGCUACUUUGUAAUUAGAAAAAUUGGCCUAGAAAUAAGGAUUUCUGUCUAGGAGCCAAGGCACCUGGGAUGCUUUCAUUCACUAUCUGUUUCAUCAUAAAAAAAAC
rnacentral:lncRNA from 1 species